ensembl:misc_RNA Metazoa_SRP Metazoan signal recognition particle RNA
GCUGGAUGCAGUGGCGCAUGUCUGUAGUCCCAGCUACUCGGGAGGCUGAGGUGGGAGGAUCACUUGAGCCCAGGAGUUCCGGGCUGUAGUGCGCUAUGCAGAUCGGGUGUCCAUACUAAGUUCGGCAUCAGUAUGGUGACAUCCCGGAAGCAGGGGACCACCAGGUUGCCUAAGGAGGGAUGAACCGGCCCAGGUCGGAAACGGAGCAGGUCAAAACUCCCGUGCUGAUCAGUAGUGGUAUCGCGCCUGUGAAUAGCCACUGCACUCCAGCCUGGGCAAUAUAGCGAGACCCUGUCUCUA